CUGACUGUCGGUGUGAGUCUGGGACCAAGAGGCCUUGGUGAGGUGACAAUUCUGACUCAUCUUAGAGUCUUCUGUUUCAUGUUUUUCUGGAUGAGUUCUUUGUUUAAACGUGUCUUUCACAGCUAGUCCUUGCUUCUGGCUGGAUUAGCUUAGCCUUUGGUUACAUUCACGCCAAGGCUUGUGUAAAUAAUAUCACCCUUUUUUUACAUAGUUAAUUUAGGUGAUUAAUCACAGCUGGCCUUUGCGUCUUGCGGGGCUUCUGAUGUCCCGGGCAACGUCUGGCACCUGGACCUUUUUAGAUUGUAAGGAUUUUUUUUUUGUUUCUUUAUGUCGGGCCACAGUGGGUGUAAUUCUCCCGUCACUCUCGUUAACAGGUCAGUAUGUUUAGGUAUAGUUAGGUUGUUAAGAGUUUAGAGAUUGUGUUUUUAUUUCGAGCAUGUUAGAGACACAAGAGACAUCAGCAGAGGAUGAAGACUUCUAUCAAUCAAAACUAUAGAGGAACGCCAACAUCCACUGAUGAAGGAGGAGAAGAAAGAUGGAGGACGGGAAUGCCAGCAUCUACCAAUGGAGGAGAAGAAAUACUUUUAUUAACCAAAACAAUAAUCCACUGAUGGAGGAGAAGGAAGAUGGAAGAGUACCAUCAUCUACCAAUGGAGGAGGAGGAGGACUAGGAGAAAAAUGGGAGAGUACCAGCAUCCAAAAGUGUCCCACAAUCAGCCCCAGGAGGAACGCCAGCAUCCACUGAUGGAGGAGAAGAAAGAUGGAGGACAGGAGCACACAAACAUCAGCACAAGACGGAGAUGAAGAAAGACUUCUAUCAAUCAACCAAAAACAAUGUAAGCAAAGGCUCUCGUUUGAACACACAUUUAAUAUAAAAAUAGG
rnacentral:lncRNA from 1 species